rnacentral:rRNA from 1 species
UACGUAGGGGGCGAGCGUUGUCCGGAAUGACUGGGCGUAAAGGGCGUGUAGGCGGCUUUUUAAGUCUGGAGUGAAAGUCCCGCUUUCAAGGUGGGAAUUGCUUUGGAAACUGGAGAGCUUGAGUGCGGAAGAGGUAAGUGGAAUUCCCAGUGUAGCGGUGAAAUACGUAGAGAUUGGGAGGAAUACCGGAGGCGAAGGCGGCCUGCUGGACAAAUACUGACGCUGAGGUGCGAAAGCGUGGGGAGCAAACCGGAUUAGAUACCCGCGUAGUCCCUGAGCGGGCUGG